UACGUAGGCAGCAAGCGUUGUUCGGAAUUACUGGGCGUAAAGGGUGCGUAGGCGGUCUCGUAAGUUCGGUGUGAAAUCUCCCGGCUCAACUGGGAGGGUGCGCCGAAAACUGCGAGGCUAGAGUGCGGGAGAGGAGAGUGGAAUUCCUGGUGUAGCGGUGAAAUGCGUAGAUAUCAGGAGGAACACCUGUGGUGUAGACGGCUCUCUGGACCGCAACUGACGCUGAGGCACGAAAGCGUGGGGAGCAAAC
rnacentral:rRNA from 1 species